GACGUAGGGUGCGAGCGUUGUCCGGAAUCACUGGGCGUAAAGGGCGCGUAGGCGGCCUGCUAAGUCGGAUGUGAAAUCCCUCGGCUCAACCGAGGAACUGCAUCCGAUACUGGCGGGCUUGAAUCCGGGAGAGGGAUGUGGAAUUCCAGGUGUAGCGGUGAAAUGCGUAGAUAUCUGGAGGAACACCGGUGGCGAAGGCGGCAUCCUGGACCGGUAUUGACGCUGAGGCGCGAAAGCUAGGGGAGCAAACGGG
rnacentral:rRNA from 1 species